rnacentral:rRNA from 1 species
CCUACGGGAGGCUGCAGUGAGGAAUAUUGGUCAAUGGGCUUACGCCUGAACCAGCCAAGUCGCGUGAGGGAAGACUGCCCUAUGGGUUGUAAACCUCUUUUGUCAGGGAGCAACACCUUCUACGUGUAGCCUUACUGAGAGUCCCUGAAAAAAAAGAAUGGGCUAACUCCGUCCCAGUGCCCGCGGUAAUACGGAGGAUCCGAGCGUUAUCCGGAUUCAUGGGGUUUAAAGGGGGCGUAGGGUGUUUUAUAAGUUAGCGGUGAAAUACCGAUGCUCAACAUCGGGGCUGCAGCUAAUACUGUAGGACUAGAGAUCGGAUGCGGCAGGCGGAAUGUGUAGUGUAGCGGUGAAAUGCAUAGAUAUUACACAGAACACCGAUUGCGAAGGCAGCUCGCUAGGCCGGAUCUGACACUGAGGCACGAAAGCGUGGGGAUCGAACAGGAUUAGAUACCCCUGUAGUC